GAUGAACGCUGGCGGCGUGCCUAAUACAUGCAAGUCGAGCGAACAGACGAGGAGCUUGCUCCUCUGACGUUAGCGGCGGACGGGUGAGUAACACGUGGAUAACCUACCUAUAAGACUGGGAUAACUUCGGGAAACCGGAGCUAAUACCGGAUAAUAUAUUGAACCGCAUGGUUCAAUAGUGAAAGACGGUUUUGCUGUCACUUAUAGAUGGAUCCGCGCCGCAUUAGCUAGUUGGUAAGGUAACGGCUUACCAAGGCAACGAUGCGUAGCCGACCUGAGAGGGUGAUCGGCCACACUGGAACUGAGACACGGUCCAGAAUCCUACGGGAGGCAGCAGUAGGGAAUCUUCCGCAAUGGGCGAAAGCCUGACGGAGCAACGCCGCGUGAGUGAUGAAGGUCUUCGGAUCGUAAAACUCUGUUAUUAGGGAAGAACAAAUGUGUAAGUAACUAUGCACGUCUUGACGGUACCUAAUCAGAAAGCCACGGCUAACCACGUG
rnacentral:rRNA from 1 species